UGUGAUGACCACAAACGUCGGGCGGCUCCCGUGUCCCUGCAGUGACAAAGGAGAGGAACCGCACUCACGGCGACGGUGGUGAUCAGGUAUGCAAGAGAAACGCUUCAUUGGCAGGGACUUGUUGUCCUCGACUGUGACGCGGGGAGGUUUAGAUUCCCAGGAAGGUUAUUUUCCUGCCUCAGUUUCCUCAAAGAGAGGUGGAAAGCGGGAGGGAGGGGGAAGCUAGCAUGCGCCGGAAGCGUGCCCGCUGUGUCUUUAGUUAGUUCGGUUCCCUUCCAGCUCCGGAGCCUGCAGUGUGUCCCCAGAGGUGAAGCGCGGGCGUCACCUCUCUCCCGCCCUCUGCACACUCAGUCCCCUGGUGGCUGUCAUCUUCCCGUCUGGUUCCGACUCCUCCGUCCUGGGAGGGGCAGACGUGGGUCCAAUUUUGGUGCCGUUGCUCCCUUAAUUCUCCAGGUGUUUUACGUUAUAUUAAUCUGUAUGAAUUUUUAUGUAGUUCACAUUUUUAAUUCCCUUUUGCUGUAUUCUUAUGAAAUAAAAUUUCCUUUUAAACCUAAGGGGUAAA